rnacentral:rRNA from 1 species
UACGAAGGGGGCUAGCGUUGCUCGGAAUCACUGGGCGUAAAGGGCGCGUAGGCGGCCAUUCAAGUCGGGGGUGAAAGCCUGUGGCUCAACCACAGAAUUGCCUUCGAUACUGUUUGGCUUGAGUCUGGUAGAGGUUGGUGGAACUGCGGGUGUAGAGGUGAAAUUCGUAGAUAUUCGCAAGAACACCGGUGGCGAAGGCGGCCAACUGGACCAGUACUGACGCUGAGGCGCGAAAGCGUGGGGAGCAAACAGG